CAAAUUAGUUAUUAUAUAAUCUUUUAUUAUAUAUACACAUUCUAAGAAUCCAUAGACUAAUCAACUAUUAGCAAAAUGAUUUUUUUUUAAAACGAUUAUUUUUAAUGGGUCUAAGAGCGGGAUCUUAAGGUGGAGUUCUUAGUGGAAUAUAAGAACCAGUCUCUUAACUUUUAACUAAAAAAAGCUAAGAAGCCUAGCAUAAGAACCCCCAAUAAUCAUGUUCUAAGCAUCCGCGUAGACAUUAAUCCUUGUGGCCUAGUGAUUUCUUGAACAUUAAUUGUUUAUACCUCUCUGGUGUAAAACUUGACGGCGAAGCCACGGAUGUCUCUCAUGGUUUCAGGGCUGGCACGCUCGUGAACGACGGUGGAGAAACGGACGAUGACGGGAGUCUGAACACCAGGGGCUCUGAGGAAAUCGGCACAAGUGAGGUUUGAAAUGUCAUGGGUGACCUCAAAGAAGCCCUUAGCACUGAUUCCUCUGGCAUGAACCACUCUCUCAGGAAUCCUCUCCCUGGUGAAGUUAGCAACCUUCUCGAUCAGAUGGUAGUCCUCAAGAAGAACCGGACCUGCCCAGAACAAAAAGUAACAAAAUUUUAGAAAACCAAUCACACUCCAAUACACAAGAUCCGAGAUUUGAACUAUUUCUCUCCUAACGAAUAUACCUCUUUCUCCGAUGGUGAGGGAGGAGAUGUUGUUGGAGACCGGAGCACCGCCGUUUGUGGUGUAGAACGGAGCGUUGUACGCGCUCGACGGACGGUACUGCAAGAACCGUAAUUCAAUCGAUUAUCAGAUAUAUCCCCAGAUCAAGCAACAAUCGUAUCGAUUCAAUUUUUUUUUACCCUAAUUUCAGUUGUUGGAAGAAGGAAGAUAUCACUUUCUAUUUUACCCGCGUCUUUCUUAUUCACUCACAAUCCGAAAUUUUAAAACUAAACCCGGUUUUACCGGGCCGGAUCCGGGCCGUCGGUGGACAAAGAAGGCUUUUCAUUUUGGGUGGUAACAUGUCGGAUUAUUCGAUUAUUGCUUUACUUUCUCGUAUAUUCAUUAGUCUUGUUUGAUGGAUCUACCACUUUUAACAGUUCGAAUAAUAAAUCCAUACGUUUUUUUUAAGAAAUUCCAACGAUUAUCCUCAUAUACAUACACCAUGCUACCAUGGUAUGUUAAAAAAUAAUUUAUAAGUGAUAUGUGCAUUGUUUCAUACGAAUAAAUACUUCACUUAAAUUUGUUUUAUUGACGACACUCUGAUUAAUCAUAUGUUUAUAUCUUAUCUGAUCAGAUUAUUUAUAUUAUGAUUAAUUUAUUGGGUAGAUUUGAUUAAUCAGGUGCGUAGAUCUGAGAAAUCUAUUUAACAAAAUUUACAAAAACACAUGCAUGUUUUUAAUAAAAACACACAAACAACAAAAUAAGGUCUCUCGUAUCAGGGAAAAAACAAACAAACCACAUGUGACGUUUUUAACGCAUGCACUGGUUUAUAGAUCAAACGAGUCGUUUUAAAAGUAUGCCAUCUUAGAUAGCCAACCCAAAAAUCAACAUAACCACCUUAUAGCUCAAACGAUCAUAGAACAUAAAUUAAUUUUGGAAGAAAAAGCAUGUAUUUAACACUAAGACUCAAGAGCAACUUUCAUUUUUCAUUAAAAAGAGUUGGAAAAAUGAUCAUAAUGAAACAUGGGAUCAUAGUGAAACAUAAUUGACUUAAGACACACACACACACAAAAAAAGUGGAGAAGAACAAGAAGAUACCUUGUAAGGAUCCAUGGUGAUGAAGAAGCUUUGAUGAUCCCAAAAUAUAACGUUUGAGGUUUUGGUAUAGUGAGAGUGAUGAGAUCUUAUAUAUGUGUAAUGUAUAUAUAGUGAAUCGCGUGUGCUACGUUAGGUAAUGGCGGCCCCCAAAUGGAGGGGUACGUUUGUCUUUCCAUGAUCAAUUUAUCGAUACAGUAAAAAUUAGAGCUAGAAAUUUUAAUCAUUGUCUGCGGGCCCGUCCCGUUUGACCCGCCGCAGGGCGGAUGCAGAUCGAACCAUUUGAAAAUUUUAAAUCGCGGGUGCGGGUACGGGUCGAGAUUAUUUUGACCAGGGCAGGUGCGGGUCAGCCAAAUUUGAAUCGCGGGUACCCGCAAAUUAAAAAAAAAAAAAAAUUUGAAAAAAGAAACAUUUCUGGUAAAAUAUAUAAAAACAAUAAAUAUUUAUAUAAUUUUAAUUAUAAAUAUAUUUUUAAUAGUAUUUUUUAAAAAUAAAUAUUAUAUAAAUAAAAAAUAAUUAUUUUUAAUUAAAAUAAUUAUUAUAUAAUUAGAAAAUAAUCAUUUUUAAUUAAAAUAACUAUUUUUAAUAUAAUUAAUAUUACCCGCGGGUUUGGCGGGGUAAUCGCGGGGUUUGGCNNNNNNNNNNNNNNNNNNNNNNNNNNNNNNNNNNNNNNNNNNNNNNNNNNNNNNNNNNNNNNNNNNNNNNNNNNNNNNNNNNNNNNNNNNNNNNNNNNNNNNNNNNNNNNNNNNNNNNNNNNNNNNNNNNNNNNNNNNNNNNNNNNNNNNNNNNNNNNNNNNNNNNNNNNNNNNNNNNNNNNNNNNNNNNNNNNNNNNNNNNNNNNNNNNNNNNNNNNNNNNNNNNNNNNNNNNNNNNNNNNNNNNNNNNNNNNNNNNNNNNNNNNNNNNNNNNNNNNNNNNNNNNNNNNNNNNNNNNNNNNNNNNNNNNNNNNNNNNNNNNNNNNNNNNNNNNNNNNNNNNNNNNNNNNNNNNNNNNNNNNNNNNNNNNNNNNNNNNNNNNNNNNNNNNNNNNNNNNNNNNNNNNNNNNNNNNNNNNNNNNNNNNNNNNNNNNNNNNNNNNNNNNNNNNNNNNNNNNNNNNNNNNNNNNNNNNNNNNNNNNNNNNNNNNNNNNNNUGCACCAAUAAGAAUUGAUGUUCAAGAGGGACACAAUCAAGUUGCUACAGAGUCUAGACAACGUUUGAAACGUGGUAGACCAAUAGGUUCCAAAGAUAAGAACCCUCGGAAAACAAAGAAAGGUGCAUCCGAGGCCGAAACCCUAGACACGGCCGCGGCCGAUCCUGAAACCCUAGAGAUGGCCGUGACCGAACCUAAGGCCUUAGACAGGGCCGAGGAACCUAAUGUGCCUAAUACUGAUGCUUGGGACGCUAAGCUUCAUGGUACUGAUGGUCCUGAUAAUAAUGAGAUCUCAAUAAAUUAUGUCUUGUCUGGGAUACAAUAGAACAGAAAGAAUGUCGACAUUGUUGAUAUAUUUGCAUAUAAGGUAGCACUUGAACUUAUGGAUUUAAACGAGGAUCAUGAACCCACGUCUAUUUAUGAGUGCACUCAACGAUCAGAUUGGAUCAAAUGGAAAGAAGCUAUAAACGUGGAGUUAAAUUCUUUAAAGAAAAGAGGUGUCUUCGGUCCUAUAAUCCGGACACCCUAUGAUGUCAAACCAGUUGGAUACAAAUUGGUCUUUGUGAGGAAAAGAAACGAACAUGGUGAAGUAGUGAGAUAUAAAGCAUGGCUUGUUGCACAAGGAUUCUCACAGAGACCAGAAAUAGACUAUGAGGAGACAUACUCCCCUGUGGUGGAUGCUACUACUUUUAGAUUCCUGAUAAGUCUGGCUAUAAGAGAAAACUUAGACUUGCGGUUAAUGGAUGUAGUAACUGCAUACUUAUAUGGUUCACUGGAUAAUGAGAUAUAUAUGAAAGUACCAGAGGGGUAUUGAAUUGAAAAACAAAGCAAGUUCUCGAGAACAAUAUUGUAUAAAGUUGAACAAAUCACUUUAUGAAUUGAAACAAUCAGGUCGAAUGUGGUACAAUAGACUAAGUGAGUACCUAGUGAAAGAGGGCUAUAAGAAUGACCUCUAUGUUUUUUUAUAAAGAAAUUCGACAAUAAAGGAUUUGUGAUCAUAGCAGUGUAUGUUGAUGAUUUGAAUAUCCUAGGAACCUCUGGAGAGAUUUCCCAAACAGUUGAAUAUCUUAAGAAAGAAUUUGAGAUGAAAGAUCUUGGAAAAACAAAGUUCUGUUUGGGAUUACAGCUUGUGUACAUUAGAGAUGGAAUCCUUGUGCAUCAAAUGACAUAUACAGAGAAAGUACUCAAAAGAUUCAAUAUGGCCGAGUCUCACUCAUUGUCUAGCCCCAUGGUCGUGAGGUCUCUCGGACUGGACACAGAUCCGUUCGGCCCUAAGAAUGACGAUGAAGAUGUCCUUGGUCCCGAAGUGCCAUAUCUCAGUGCCAUUGGAGCUUUGAUGCAUCUGACUAGUCACACACGGCCAGACAUAUGCUUUGCAGUGAACCUACUAUCUAGGUUUAGCUCUUGUCCGACCUAAAGGCACUAGAAUGAGAUUAAACAUAUACUUCGUUACCUGCAAGGAACGAAAGACUUGUGUUUAUUUUAUACUAACCAAAACAAAGAAGGUUUAGUUGGUUUUGCUAAUGCAGGUUAUCUUUCGUAUCCACACAAUGCUCAAUCACAGACAUGCUAUGUGUUCACACAUGGUGGAACGGCCAUAUCAUGGCGUUCCAUGAAACAGACGAUCACGGCCACAUCUUCAAACCAUUCGGAGAUCUUAGCUAUUCAUGAAGCCAGCCGCGAGUGUGUUUGGUUGAGGUCCAUGACCCAACAUGUUCGAGUUGAUUGUGGGAUGUCCGAAGGUAAGGAUGCACCAACCGUGAUGUAUGAAGACAAUGCAGCAUGCAUUGUUCAGCUCAAGGACGGUUACAUCAAAGGAGAUAGGACGAAGCACAUCCCACCCAAGUUCUUCUUCACGUAUGAACUUCAGAAAGCCGGCGAGGUUCAAGUGGUCCAAAUGCGUUCCAGUGACAACUCAGCUGAUCUAUUUACCAAGUCACUUCCUACCUCGACGUUCAGGAAGCUCAUGUAUCAGAUAGGUAUACGUAGACUGAAAGACCUUCAGUGAUGUUCAUAACAGGGGGAAUAAUACGUGUUGUACUCUUUUUUCUCCACCAUGAUUUUGUCCCAUUGGGUUUUCCUGGUAAGAUUUUAAUGAGGCAAUAUCCAAAGCGUAUUACGAACUCUGUAUGGUUAUGACAUCCAAGGAAGAGUUUUAUAAAUCAUAUUGUGGAUGUUCAUAACCGGUCCGGUCCAUAACCGGUUCAUACCGUUAGAGAGAGAGAGACGGCUAGAGAGAGAGUUGGCCACAUUUGGUUUUUCUUUUUCUUUAUUGGUUUAUGAUUUGUACUAUUUUUUUUUCUAGUCUUUCAAUUAUUCUAUGACGGUGUAAUUCUCUAUAUAUAAAUGGUUCAUUAUGUUUAAAGAUUAAUAAGAAUAUAGAGAUUUUAUUCUCCAAGUUUCACGACAAAAAACCUUUUCUUUAAUCAUUGAUCGUGCGUCUGACAUUAGACCACAAUAAAAUUACAACUAUAAGCAGCUCACGUCAUAGAUGCAAAUCUGGAGGAAAUAAUAAGCACACUUAAAAUUUAAUCCAGAGCAAAAUAUAAUAACAAAUAAAUACCAUUUCGAGUAGAACUAGUUAUGGAUUAUAUAUAUCACGUUAUAAGCUUACAUAGCUUUUUAUUAUUUGCCUUAGAAAAUAUUCGUUGACAUUGUGAAUAGAAAGAUUACAACAUGUACUAGAAGUACCCUUCCUUAAACAUUUCAUUGUCACGGUUUAUUUAAAUGAACUAUUACCAAAGAGCUUACAUAGAAACCAAACCACAAUAAAAGAUCACUUAGUCUUUCGAGAUGAUACCAUUCAGUACUUAGGCCUCACGUUAAGACGGGAAGCUAGUUUCUGUCCCAGCGAUUUGUCUGCCUGAGUCCAGUAAGAUAUCCAAAUGCUGCGAAUCUCGUGCGUCACGCGAGGCUCCGCAAGUGCUUCAACAAAACGCUUCACGAAACGCUCUUGCCUUUUACCCGGAAAGAAAAAAAAACAAUUAGAAUUUUAUGAAAUGUGUGAAGCUUUGUGGAUUUUGCAAUGAGUUUUGUAGUGUCUACCUGUCUGCGUCCCAGGACCUGUAUCGUUCCCCUGGCUGCUGAAAGUUGUUCUCCUUCUCAAUCAUGCACUGUCGUAUACAGAAGAUAGUAUAAAAAACAUUUUAAUCUCACAAUGUUAAAAGGAUUUGUGUCAAGGCAUGGAGCGGAAUAUGACCUUCUCACGAUUUCCAGAGCAGAAAACAGGAGUUGUUGGGUAUUUGUCAGCAUGGCGAACCGGAUUCAACCUUGAAGGGAAGUAAUUAACCUGGAAAGCAACUCAACCGGUUCAUAUAAUCAAACUAUAAAAAAUAAGAUUGUGAAUAAGCGUUUGAAUGAGCUGAUUACCUCCUCAUCUCGGUGCAUGAAGUUCAUGAAACCUUCAUGGUGAUUGUUGUGGUGAGCACAUUUUGGAGCAUUAACCGGCAGCUGCAGAUAGUUUGGUCCAAGACGGUGUCUCUGACUAUCAGCGUAGGAGAAGAUCCUGGUCUGGAGCAGCUUAUCAUCUGAGUAAUGGACGCCAGGAACGACAAUAGCAGGGCAGAAAGCAAUCUGCUCAUUCUCGUUAAAGAAGUUGUCGAUGUUUUUGUUCAGCACCAAGCGGCCAACAGGCUGCAGAGGCAAGAUAUCUUCAGGCCAGAUCUUGGUGACAUCAAGAGGGUCGAAGUCAAACUUGUCUUCAUGAGCAGGAUCCAUCACUUGAACGAAGAGAUUCCACUCUGGAUAGUUCCCAGAAGCGAUUGAGUCAUAGAGAUCCUUGGUUGCAUGGCUGUGGUUGGAUCCUCCGACCUUGAUAGCUUCCUCAUCAAGGAGGCAUUUAACCCCACAAGACGGUUUCCAGUGGAACUUGACGUAGUGAGCUUUUCCGGCUUUGUUGAUAAGCAUGUAGGUGUUGACACCAAAGCCAUUCAUGUGUCUGUAGUCCUGUGGGAUACCGAGAUCGUCGAAGAGGAACGAAAACAUGUGAAGACUCUCAGGGUGAUGUGAGAAGAAGUCCAGUAUCCUCCAGUUCUCCUGAAUGUGGGAUUUGGGGUUCGGUUUCAAGGCGUGGACCAUGUCAGGGAACUUCAUCCCGUCGCGGACGAAGAAGACAGGGAAGUUGUUGCCAACAAGAUCAAAGUUCCCCUGAGUUUGCAAAACAGACUCAUUAAAAGACAAGGAUGUUGAUGAUGGCAUGAAAGAGAGAGAGAGAGAGAGAGAGAGUGGGGAAAAGCUAAACCUCUCUGGUGUAGAACUUGACAGCAAAACCACGAGGAUCUCUGAGAGUCUCGGGGCUGCCGCGCUCGUGGAUCACAGUAGAGAAACGAACAAUGACAGGAGUCUGGACGCCAGGUCCUCGGAGAAAAUCAGCACAGGUAAGGUGGGUAAUGUCAUGGGUGACUUCAAAGAAACCUUUAGCACUAGCACCUCUGGCAUGAACAACUCUUUCAGGAAUCCGCUCCCUGUCAAAGUUGGCUAAUUUCUCAAGCAGAUGAUAGUCUUCCAGAAGAAUAGGGCCUGGCAAGUUACAAAAAUUAUAGCUUUCACAAGAAAGCUGAUUCACAAAAGUCCAAAAAAUGAAUGGAGACAUUCUCAUUUAAAUGUUUACUGCAAGAGAUAAGAAAGACGCACCUCUGGUUCCAGCAGUCAAAGAGGAGUUGUUGUUCCAGACAGGAGCACCCGAGUUUGUCGUGAAGAAGGGCGAAUCAUGAGCGCUUGAAGGACGAACCUGCACCCCCAAACGAUUGAUGAUAACAUGACAGAAUAAUAAACAAAUCAAGAGGGUCCAGAAGCAACAUGAACAUUAGGUAGCUACUACUUGAGCUCAAAAUCCAGUAAAUCGAUUAAAUAACGAACAAAACAACUCAAAAAAUCUGAGUUAGAAACCUUAAACAAUGAUUAUAUACAACGACAUCGAUAGAUUACGUCAACGUUUGGACUAGUUAUUCCUCGAAAACGUGCAUGUGGCUAAAUAAACAAUCAAUAAACAUAACCAUUCACAUAAUCCAGUCCUAAAUAUAUUUGAUCUUUUUAAUCUUAAACAAAAGCAAGUUUCUAGCAACUUCUAGAACCCUCACCAACAAUCAAACCCCCGAUCUAUGCGAAUUAUACAAAAAUCGAACAAUCAAACUAUUAGAUCAUUUAAUCACACGAAAUUGAUACGAAACGGACUCAGAUCCAGAAUCAACCGAAACAAAAUCUAAGAGAAAUCGAUCGGUGGUGUUACCCUGUAUGGAUCCAUGGAUGCAAAGACGAUUUCGAUUCGGAUUUUGCCUCCUUCACGGUUUCUUUUUAGGUGAGACUGGUUUUGUAUCUUUCUACGUAAUCGGCGUGUGUCUCACUGUUUUAUAGUGACCCCCAAGAUAAAUAUCUUAUUUUUAUCCCACCGCGUUAAAAUUGAGAUUACGUUACCAACUAAAAUAGUCGUAUGUUUUUUUUUUUUUUUGGGGAGAUUAUCCAAAUGAUUACUUUCUCGAAUCAGUCCGCCACCUAAUUACCUGCUUACGUGUGCGGAUAAUAUCCUCUUACCCUUACUUGGAUUCUAUACUAUAACUAGACAAAUCUUGUUUUCAAAUUCAAGCUUAUCCCUUAGUAAAAUAAAUAGUACUAGUCGAAUUAUAAUACUGCAUUUAUUUUCAUUGAUUUUAUUUUAUUAUUAUGACAAACACAGAGUUUGACAAGUAAUAAGAUACCAAGGAAACAUUUGGUUUUAAAAGGAUUACAAACAUCAUUUUUUAUUAUACAGACACGAAACAGAAACAACAACAACAGCAUAAUCUUCUUGAGGAAUUUUAAGUGAUGAUGGAUCGUUGAGAGUAUCAUAUGAUUUGUACCUUUCCAAGGACAAGAGAUUGGUCUCUCUAGAUGCUUGGCCUUACGUUCAGACGGCUUGCAAGUUUCUGUCCCAGUGAUCGGUCAGCCUGAGACAUACAGAUUUUAUUAAGAAUGUCAGCUUUCACAAAAAUGGGAGAAAAUGCAAAGUAGGAAGCACUGAGUUUGUUUCUUUUUUUGUUCUGACCUGAGACCAGUAAGAGAUCCAGAUGCCGCGGAUCUCAUGAGUCAGACGUGGCUCUGACAGUAUCUCAACCCAUCUCUUCACAAACCUGUCUUGCCUGUCACCCACCCAUAAAAGUAAGCAUUAGGAUUCUAGUGAGUUUCAGUGAGAGAGUUACUUAUGCAAAGAGAGAGAAUGAGACUUCUUCUUUUACCUGUCUGGUGCCCAUGAUCUGUAUCUGUCUCCUGGCUGCUUGAAGUUGUUCUCCUUCUUGAUGAUGCACUGCAACACAUUGACAAUGAAGAAUUGUUUUAGUACACAAAAUUCAAAUGAAGUGAAAUAUAAGGUUUUGAUGCCUUCAAAUCAUAUACCUUUGUUCUGAUUCCAGUGUAUGAUUUGUUAGGGAUAGGAGCUUUCUCUGCGCAGCGGACAGGAUCAAACUUUGAGGGAUAGUAAUUGAUCUGUAAAAGCAAACACCACAUUAAGAUUUUGAUACCAAAUUAAGAAAAACAAGCAAGCAUAGCUCAAAUGGUACUAUUUAGACUUACCUCCUCAUCUCUGUGCAUGAAGUUCAUAAACCCUUCAUGGUGAUUGUUGUGGUGAGCACAUUUGGGAGCAUUAACCGGCAGCUGCAGAUAGUUGGGUCCAAGACGAUGUCUCUGAGUGUCACCAUACGCAAAGAUCCUACACUGGAGCAGCUUAUCAUCCGAGUAGUAAAUCCCAGGAACCACAAGACCAGGGUUGAAAGCGAGCUGCUCAGUCUCAUUAAAGAAGUUAUCAAUAGUCCUGUUCAGAACCAACCGACCAACAGGCUGCAGAGGCAAGAUAUCCUCAGGCCAGAUCUUGGUCACAUCGAGCGGGUCGAAGUCAAACUUAUCCUCAUCCGCAGGAUCCAUGGUCUGAAUAAAAAGCUUCCACUCAGGGUAGUUACCAGACGCAAUAGCAUCGUGGAGAUCCUUAGUCGCGUGGCUGUGGUUGGCUCCUCCAACUACCUUAGCCUCUUCAUCGGUGAGAUUCUUGAUCCCACAAGUUGGUUUCCAGUGGAACUUCACGAAGAGAACCUUUCCGGAUUUGGAGACAAGAGUGUAGGUGUGGACACCGAAACCUUCCAUGUGCCUGUAGUCUUGUGGGAUACCGACGUCAUCAAACAUCCAGCACCAUGUGAGGAGACUCUCUGGUAAGUGGGACAUGUAGUCCAGUAUCCUCCAGUACUCCUGGAUGUUUGUUUUCGGGUUCGGCUUCAGGGCGUGGACGACGUCCGGGAACUGAAUCCCGUCGCGGAUGAAGAACA
rnacentral:lncRNA from 1 species